rnacentral:lncRNA from 1 species
GACUUAGCAUGGAUCUCUUGGUUGCAGCAUGCAGGAUCUAGUCCUCUGACCAGAGAUCAAACCUUGGCCCCCUUCUCUGGGAACACAGAGUCUUACUUAGCCACUGGACCACCUGGGAAGUCCUAAGAGUAGAAGCCUUCCUAAAAGAUCUACAGCUGAUAGGCAGCUAGAUUGUAACCAAUGUUAAAUCAUCCUUUCCCAAUUACACUAGAUUUGAGAGAUUAAAAUAGCCCUCCCCCAACAUUUUCCCAUCGUCGUUGUCCAUGUGAGGUAGCCGAUGUGGUUCUGCCCUCCAUCUGGGUAUACCCCCAUCGCUCAGCCUUGCCUUUUGCUGUCCCUCUUCUUGGUGACACCCACCCCCAGGCCUCAGGGUGCCCUUAAGGUGUCUCUUGGAAGAGCUUCUCUUGCCGGCUGCCCAGAGCUGCCGCUUCAUUGCAUUCCACCCACUUGGGAUCCCACCCAUCCCACCCACGUCACUUAAGUCUUUUCUCCUUCCUUACCCUUGUAUGUAAUGUUCCUUCCAUACCCGCAUCAAGCCUGCUGACUUUUCUCCCACCAUCUCUGUAGCAAUCUCUCUAUGACGUCCAGUGCCAGUUGGGUGACUUAGUAAACUUAACUGACCCCAAGGGAGGGGACCGUGGCCCUUCAGUGCCUACUCUUUUCUCCUCCAAAACCCACACUUUACAGUGACUUUCUGGAGAGAUAGCUCCAUCACUGAUAUCUUUGCCAGUUUCCUACCGGCAAAGAGAGAGCAAAGUGCCUUCCGACUGAACAGGUAUAAUAUGCAAAGGUCCAGCGGAUGGAAGAAGCUGGUUACUUUUGAGGAACUGAAAGACUAGAGAGCCUUAUUCAUGAGAACGAGAUGGACUGGGACUUCCCUGGUGGUCUAGUGGUUAGGACUUCACCUUCUAAGGCAGGGGGUGCAGGUUCAAUCCCUGGUCAGGGAACUAAGAUCCCACCUGCCUUGUGACCAAAGAAACCAAAACAUAAAGCAGAGCAAUAUUGUAACAAAUUUAAUUAAGACUUUAAAAAUGGUCCACAUCAAACAACAGCAACAGAUGGACUAGUGCAAGGACUAGGGCUGAUUAUCAGACUCAAGGAUGCUUGAGAAUCACCUGGAGAGUUUUAAAGCAAAUGUUUCAGAUCCCACCAUGAGAUUCAGUGCUUAGAGGGCUGGUGGGCCCUGGACUCUGCAUUUUCCCCAAAUAUCCUCCGAGAUUAGGGGACUCACAGGCCACCCCUAGAGAAGCACUGGUCCAGCCCAGUUGUUUGACGCCCUGGCUGCACAAUGGAAUCGUCUUGGGAGAUUUAUAAGCUGCUGGCGUUUAUGCCCUGCCCUCUGAGGAUCUGAUAUAAUUGAUCUGAUGGGCAGGCAGGGCAGCUGUAUAUUUAAAAGAUGUCCAGAUGGCUUUUAUUGGCAGUCAAGUUUGAGAACUGAUGGGCUACAGCAUCUUUAAAAAGCAGUUCAGUUCAGUC